AAAAUUAAAAGGACGCGGUAACCUUGACCGUGAUAAUGUAGCAUAAUCAUUCGCCAUUUAAUUGAUGGAUAGUAUGAAUGGUUGAACGAAUAUUCCACUGUCUUAAAAAGAAAUUAACAAAAAUUAGAAUAAUAGUAAAGAUACUAUUUAAAAUUGUAAGACGAAAAGACCCUAUAGAGCUUAACUAUAAUCUUUCUCUUUAAUAUUAACAGAAAGAUUGGUAGUUUAGUUGGGGCGACUGUCUUUUAAAAUUAACAAAGACAAGCAAAAAUUAAUAUUAAAAUUUAUUGUAUAAUCCAUAAAUUUAACAAUUACAAAAGUAGGCUAUAAUGACCCGUUAUUAUUUCAUAAAAAAAAUAACGAUCAAUAAAUAAAAGCUACCUUAGGGAUAACAGGAUAAUUUUAUUCUAGAGAUCUAAUCGAAAAUAAAGUUUGUCACCUCUAUGUUGAAUUAAGA
rnacentral:rRNA from 1 species